rnacentral:rRNA from 1 species
AGUGAACGCUGGCGGUAGGCCUAACACAUGCAAGUCGAACGGCAGCACAGUAAGAGCUUGCUCUUACGGGUGGCGAGUGGCGGACGGGUGAGGAAUACAUCGGAAUCUACUUUUUCGUGGGGGAUAACGUAGGGAAACUUACGCUAAUACCGCAUACGACCUACGGGUGAAAGCAGGGGAUCUUCGGACCUUGCGCGAUUGAAUGAGCCGAUGUCGGAUUAGCUAGUUGGCGGGGUAAAGGCCCACCAAGGCGACGAUCCGUAGCUGGUCUGAGAGGAUGAUCAGCCACACUGGAACGGAGACACGGUCCAUACUCCUACGGGAGGCAGCAGUGGGGAAUAUUGGACAAUGGGCGCAAGCCUGAUCCAGCCAUACCGCGUGGGUGAAGAAGGCCUUCGGGUUGUAAAGCCCUUUUGUUGGGAAAGAAAAGCAGCAGGUUAAUACCCCGCUGUUCUGACGGUACCCAAAGAAUAAGCACCGGCUAACUUCGUG